rnacentral:rRNA from 1 species
CACGUAGGGGGCAAGCGUUGUCCGGAAUUAUUGGGCGGAAAGAGCUCGUAGGCGGUUUGUCGCGUCGGCUGUGAAAACCCGGGGCUCAACCCCGGGCCUGCAGUCGAUACGGGCAAACUAGAGUGUGGUAGGGGAGACUGGAAUUCCUGGUGUAGCGGUGAAAUGCGCAGAUAUCAGGAGGAACACCGGUGGCGAAGGCGGGUCUCUGGGCCAUAACUGACGCUGAGGAGCGAAAGCGUGGGGAGCGAACAGG